GGAGUCUACAUGCACUGUAGGUGGAUAAACUCCUCUUGUUGAUGAAGAACUUGUCAGUACUGACAAUGCUGUCUACCUCUGAAGAAGAAACCUAAGGUUUUGUGAAGGACCGGGAGUCAUCAAAGGUGGGGAGAUGAGCUACAUUCCUGUGUUGGUUUGGUGGAGGAUGGAAAAAAACCCUUCCUAUGGUACAUGAGUCACCUCUUACAACAGAUCCUCCUCUCCUCUUCCCUUGGGAGAAUCUUCUUAUAGUCCAGUUUGACUUGUCUUACUGAAUCACUAAACAC